rnacentral:rRNA from 1 species
AUUGAACGCUGGCGGCAUGCUUUACACAUGCAAGUCGAACGGUAACAGGGAGCUUGCUCCGCUGACGAGUGGCGAACGGGUGAGUAAUGCGUCGGAACGUGCCGAGUAGUGGGGGAUAACGCAUCGAAAGGUGUGCUAAUACCGCAUACGAACUGAGGUUGAAAGUGGGGGACCUUCGGGCCUCACGCUAUUCGAGCGGCCGACGUCUGAUUAGCUAGUUGGUGAGGUAAAGGCUCACCAAGGCGACGAUCAGUAGCGGGUCUGAGAGGAUGAUCCGCCACACUGGGACUGAGACACGGCCCAGACUCCUACGGGAGGCAGCAGUGGGGAAUUUUGGACAAUGGGCGCAAGCCUGAGCCAGCCAUGCCGCGUGCAGGAUGAAGGCCUUCGGGUUGUAAACUGCUUUUGUACGGAACGAAAAGACUCUGGUUAAUACCUGGGGUCCAUGACGGUACCGUAAGAAUAAGCACCGGCUAACUACGUGCCAGCCGCCGCCGUAACAC